rnacentral:rRNA from 1 species
ACGAAGGGUGCAAGCGUUGCUCGGAAUUAUUGGGCGUAAAGGGUUGGUAGGUGGUCUUGUUUGUCUAAGGUGAAAUCCCAUGGCUUAACUGUGGAAGUGCCUUAGAAACGGCAAGACUAGAGUCCUAGAGGGGUUUGUGGAAUUCCCGGUGUAGCGGUGAAAUGCGUAGAGAUCGGGAGGAACACCAGCGGCGAAGGCGGCAAACUGGAUAGGCACUGACACUCAACAACGAAAGCGUGGGGAGCAAACAGGA